rnacentral:rRNA from 1 species
AUGGCAGUGGCGAGUACCUCUCCGGCUCUCUCUCUCCCGCCUCUCCUUCUCGUCCUCCUACUCCUCGCUGCCACCAGCGAGGCCACCAAAUUUAGUGUCAUCAACCGAUGCUCCUACACCGUGUGGCCAGCCGCUGUUCCGGUUGGUGGUGGCGUGAAGCUCGAUCCGGGGGAGACGUGGGAGAUGGACGUUCCCGCUGGCACCAUGGGCGGGCGCAUCUGGGCACGCACAGACUGCUCAUUCCAGGGCGAAGGCAACGGGUCGUGCCAAACUGGCGACUGCGGCGGCUUGCUUGCCUGUAAGGGCAAUGGUCAGCCGCCCAACACGCUGGGCGAGUUCACGCUUGGCCAAAACCAAACGAACGACUUCUUCGACAUCUCCCUCCUCGACGGCUUCAACGUGCCCAUGGAGUUACUGCCGGUGCAGGUUCAGGGAAGGUCAGGGUGCGGCAAGGGGCUGCGCUGCGCAGCCAACAUCACAUCACAGUGCCCGGGCGACCUGAAGGCUCCGGGGGGUUGUAACAAUGCGUGCACAGUGUUCAAGCAGGACAUGUACUGCUUUAAUGGAAGCAAGACAAGCAACCCCACAAAUUACUCGAAAUUCUUUAAAUGGAUGUGCCCAGAUGCCUACAGCUACCCUGACGAUGGUUUCACCAGAACUUUCAAUUGCCCGUCAGGUACCAACUACCAGGUCAUCUUUUGUCCCCUUUUUAAUCAAGCACUAUCGCCGACCCAGGUAACACCUCCGACACCAAGUACUCUGCCUGCAGCUACCGGGCCAACAAGCAUGAAACCGAAAUCCUCUGCUACAAGAAGAAUUGUUGCAAUUCUAGCUCCUGUAGGCGGCUUCAUUUUGCUCACCAUCGUGUUCCUCAUCAUCUUCUUUAUAUGUAAACGAAGAACACAACGACAACAUGGGAUGGAAGAAGAGGAAGAGUUUGGGGAGCUACAAGGAACACCAAUGAGGUUCACAUUUCAACAGCUAAAAGCAGCAACCGAGCAAUUCACAGACAAGCUUGGGGAAGGAGGAUUUGGGUCUGUUUUCAAGGGACAAUUUGGUGAUCAAAGGAUUGCAGUGAAACGUUUGGAUCGAACUGGUCAGGGCAAAAGUGAAUUUUCGGCAGAGGUUCAGACAAUUGGCAGCAUUCAUCAUAUUCAUCUGGUGAGAUUGAUUGGUUUCUGUGCAGAGAAAUCCCAUAGGCUCUUGGUAUAUGAGUACAUGCCCAAAGGAUCCUUGGACAGAUGGAUUUAUUGUCGACAUGACAAUGAUGCCCCUCCUUUAGAUUGGAGCACGCGGUGCAAGAUUAUAACUCACAUAGCUAAGGGCCUCUCUUAUCUUCAUGAGGAGUGCACAAAAAGAAUUGCUCAUUUGGAUGUCAAACCGCAAAAUAUUCUCUUAGAUGACAACUUUGAUGCUAAACUUUCUGAUUUUGGACUAUGCAAGCUCAUCGACAGGGAUAUGAGCCAAGUGGUUACCAGAAUGAGAGGCACACCUGGAUAUUUAGCUCCUGAAUGGUUGACAUCACAGAUCACGGAAAAGGCGGAUAUCUACAGCUUUGGCAUCGUGGUCAUGGAAAUCAUCAGUGGAAGAAAGAACCUUGACACUUCCCGGUCAGAAGAGAGCGUCCAUCUCAUCACCCUAUUGGAGGAAAAGGUGAAGAAUGAUCAGUUGGUAGAUUUGAUUGACAAUAACAGUAACGACAUGCAAGCACACAAGCAAGAUGUAAUUCAGAUGAUGAUGCUUGCAAUGUGGUGCUUGCAGAUUGAUCGCAAAAAAAGGCCUAAAAUGUCGGAGGUGGUAAGAGUAUUGGAAGGUACCAUGAAAGCAGACCUCAACAUAGAACAUGAGUUUGUUGUAACAACUCCGGCAAAUUUUAGUAGCACAGGAAAUGUGAGCUCUUCAGCUCCACCUCUAGCCUCAGAUGUAUCAGGCCCCAGGUGA